UGUGGAAAUAUGUGAAAUCUGGCACAGACUUUUAAAGAGCCUCAUGAGCAUGAUGAAUAAUUUAUCUUGAGGAGUUGGCUGUUGCCUCUUUCAGUCAAGCAACAAAGAUUAUAUACCUAGUCUGUACAUGGAUUUCAUAGACCUGAUUUCAAUGAUCAGGGCUCUCUUUUAACUGGCUGGCAGAGAAAGUUGCUGGCUCUGUCCAUUUACAGAAGAAAAAGAGGAACACUAAGGUCUGAUGUCUGCAUGUAGAUAGUCUCAGGGUACUUUAAUGGACCCUUACUUGUAGUUAAUGGAACAAUUCUGUAGUUUAAAAUUUUUUCUGUA